AGUGCGUAAUAGCUCACUAGUCGAGUGACACUGCGCCGAAAAUGUACCGGGGCUAAACAUAUUACCGAAGCUGUGGAUUGUCCUUUGGACAAUGGUAGGAGAGCGUUCUAAGGGCGUUGAAGCAUGAUCGUAAGGACAUGUGGAGCGCUUAGAAGUGAGAAUGCCGGUGUGAGUAGCGAAAGACGGGUGAGAAUCCCGUCCACCGAUUGACUAAGGUUUCCAGAGGAAGGCUCGUCCGCUCUGGGUUAGUCGGGUCCUAAGCUGAGGCCGACAGGCGUAGGCGAUGGAUAACAGGUUGAUAUUCCUGUACCACCUAUAAUCGUUUUAAUCGAUGGGGGGACGCAGUAGGAUAGGCGAAGCGUGCGAUUGGAUUGCACGUCUAAGCAGUAAGGCUGAGUAUUAGGGAAAUCCGGUACUCAUUAAGGCUGAGCUGUGAUGGGGAGAAGACAUUGUGUCUUCGAGUCGUUGAUUUCACACUGCCGAGAAAAGCCUCUAGAUAGAAAAUAGGUGCCCGUACCGCAAACCGACACAGGUAGUCAAGAUGAGAAUUCUAAGGUGAGCGAGCGAACUCUCGUUAAGGAACUCGGCAAAAUGACCCCGUAACUUCGGGAGAAGGGGUGCUCUUUAGGGUUAACGCCCAGAAGAGCCGCAGUGAAUAGGCCCAAGCGACUGUUUAUCAAAAACACAGGUCUCUGCUAAACCGUAAGGUGAUGUAUAGGGGCUGACGCCUGCCCGGUGCUGGAAGGUUAAGAGGAGUGGUUAGCUUCUGCGAAGCUACGAAUCGAAGCCCCAGUAAACGGCGGCCGUAACUAUAACGGUCCUAAGGUAGCGAAAUUCCUUGUCGGGUAAGUUCCGACCCGCACGAAAGGCGUAACGAUUUGGGCACUGUCUCAACGAGAGACUCGGUGAAAUCAUAGUACCUGUGAAGAUGCAGGUUACCCGCGACAGGACGGAAAGACCCCGUGGAGCUUUACUGUAGCCUGAUAUUGAAAUUCGGCACAGCUUGUACAGGAUAGGUAGGAGCCUUUGAAACGUGAGCGCUAGCUUACGUGGAGGCGCUGGUGGGAUACUACCCUAGCUGUGUUGGCUUUCUAACCCGCACCACUUAUCGUGGUGGGAGACAGUGUCAGGCGGGCAGUUUGACUGGGGCGGUCGCCUCCUAAAAGGUAACGGAGGCGCUCAAAGGUUCCCUCAGAAUGGUUGGAAAUCAUUCAUAGAGUGUAAAGGCAUAAGGGAGCUUGACUGCGAGACCUACAAGUCGAGCAGGGUCGAAAGACGGACUUAGUGAUCCGGUGGUUCCGCAUGGAAGGGCCAUCGCUCAACGGAUAAAAGCUACCCCGGGGAUAACAGGCUUAUCUCCCCCAAGAGUUCACAUCGACGGGGAGGUUUGGCACCUCGAUGUCGGCUCAUCGCAUCCUGGGGCUGUAGUCGGUCCCAAGGGUUGGGCUGUUCGCCCAUUAAAGCGGUACGCGAGCUGGGUUCAGAACGUCGUGAGACAGUUCGGUCCCUAUCCGUCGUGGGCGUAGGAAAUUUGAGAGGAGCUGUCCUUAGUACGAGAGGACCGGGAUGGACAUACCUCUGGUGUACCAGUUGUCGUGCCAACGGCAUAGCUGGGUAGCUAUGUGUGGACGGGAUAAGUGCUGAAAGCAUCUAAGCAUGAAGCCCCCCUCAAGAUGAGAUUUCCCAACUUCGGUUAUAAGAUCCCUCAAAGAUGAUGAGGUUAAUAGGUUCGAGGUGGAAGCAUGGUGACAUGUGGAGCUGACGAAUACUAAUCGAUCGAAGACUUAAUCAA
rnacentral:rRNA from 1 species